rnacentral:rRNA from 1 species
GUAGUCUCGCACAGAUGCAUAUCAAUAAGCGGAGGAAAAGAAACUAACAAGGAUUCCCCUAGUAACGGCGAGUGAAGCGGGAAGAGCUCAAAUUUGAAAUCUUAAAGGGUUUCCCUUUACGAAUUGUAGUUUAAAGAAGUGUUUUCUGUUGAGGUUUUGGUAAAAGUUCUUUGGAAUAGGACAUCAUAGAGGGUGAGAAUCCCGUAUUUGACCUUUACUUUCAACUUUGUGAUACACUUUCAAAGAGUCGGAUUGUUUGGGAAUGCAGUCCAAAAUGGGUGGUAAAUUUCAUCUAAAGCUAAAUAUUGGCGAGAGACCGAUAGCGAACAAGUACCGUGAGGGAAAGAUGAAAAGAACUUUGAAAAGAGAGUUAAACAGUACGUGAAAUUGUCAAAAGGGAAGCGUUUGACACCAGUGUUGUUUUUCUGAAAAUCAAUUAAAGAACUGUUUAUGCUAAGCUGUUUAGACUUUAUCAGCUAUCUGUUUAGUUUUGAGCUUUUCUUUAAUGCACUUUUCAGUUAACAAGUCAACAUCAAUUUCUUUUGCUGUAAUAAAGCUUGAGGAAGGUGGCUUGAGAUUCGUCUUAAGUGUUUAUAGCCUCUUGCCUAUGCAGUCGGAGAGAUUGAGGUCUGCAGCGUAGAUCCUUCGGGGCUAAAUGCAUUUGUGCUAAGUUAUAGCAUUUUAUAGACAACUUGUUGACUAUGAUUUGUCUUGUAGCUUACUCGCUUAUGUUAUUUUACCUACGCUUAGGAUGUUGAUGUGAUACUGCGAGCA